AGAGGGAUGGCGGAGUGGUCGAACGCGGCGGUCUUGAAAACCGUUGUAGGGUAACCUACCGGGGGUUCGAAUCCCUCUCCCUCUG
rnacentral:tRNA from 1 species